rnacentral:miRNA from 1 species
UGAAAGACUUGAGUAGUGAG